GUCUCGUGAUGAUACGAUCUGCUUCUCUCUCUCUCUGUCGGAGAAGAGAAAUUAUCAGGGCCUGUGAUCUGAAGAU
rnacentral:misc_RNA from 1 species